UGCCCAAAGAUGUUUGCCAUAGACUA
rnacentral:piRNA from 1 species